rnacentral:rRNA from 1 species
UACGUAGGGUGCGAGCGUUAAUCGGAAUUACUGGGCGUAAAGAGUGCGUAGGCGGUUCUCCAAGUCCGUUGUGAAAGCCCCGGGCUCAACCUGGGAAUGGCAGUGGAAACUAGGGGACUUGAAUCUGGCAGAGGGGGUGGAAUGCCGCGUGUAGCAGUGAAAUGCGUAGAGAUGCGGCGGAACACCGAUGGCGAAGGCAGCCCCCUGGGCUGAGAUUGACGCUCAGGCACGAAAGCGUGGGAGCAAACAGG